rnacentral:miRNA from 1 species
CAUUCAACCUUUGAACGG